rnacentral:rRNA from 1 species
GACGAACGCUGGCGGCGUGCCUAAUACAUGCAAGUUGAGCGCUGAAGGUUGGUACUUGUACCAACUGGAUGAGCAGCGAACGGGUGAGUAACGCGUGGGGAAUCUGCCUUUGAGCGGGGGACAACAUUUGGAAACGAAUGCUAAUACCGCAUAAAAACUUUAAACACAAGUUUUAAGUUUGAAAGAUGCAAUUGCAUCACUCAAAGAUGAUCCCGCGUUGUAUUAGCUAGUUGGUGAGGUAAAGGCUCACCAAGGCGAUGAUACAUAGCCGACCUGAGAGGGUGAUCGGCCACAUUGGGACUGAGACACGGCCCAAACUCCUACGGGAGGCAGCAGUAGGGAAUCUUAGGCAAUGGACGAAAGUCUGACCGAGCAACGCCGCGUGAGUGAAGAAGGUUGUCGGAUCGUAAAACUCUGUUGGUAGAGAAGAACGUUGGUGAGAGUGGAAAGCUCAUCAAGUGACGGUAACUACCCAGAAAGGGACGGCUAACUACGUG